rnacentral:rRNA from 1 species
CGAACGCAAUCUUUGACUAAUGAGUGCUUGCACUCAGCGGUCAAACGUGCGAGUGGCGAACGGGUGAGUAACACGUGGGCAAUCUGCCCAAAAGUGGGGGAUAACACUUGGAAACAGGUGCUAAUACCGCAUCAACCGGCUGACCGCAUGGUCGGCCGGGCAAAGACGGCGUCAGCUGUCGCUUUUGGAUGAGCCCGCGGCGUAUUAACUAGUUGGUAAGGUAACGGCUUACCAAGGUGAUGAUACGUAGCCGAACUGAGAGGUUGAUCGGCCACAUUGGGACUGAGACACGGCCCAAACUCCUACGGGAGGCAGCAGUAGGGAAUCUUCCACAAUGGACGCAAGUCUGAUGGAGCAACGCCGCGUGUAUGAAGAAGGUCUUCGGAUCGUAAAAUACUGUUGUCAGAGAAGAACACGUGAUAGAGUAACUGCUAUGGCGCUGACGGUAUCUGACCAGCAAGUCACGGCUAACUACGUGCCAGCAGCCGCGGUAAUACGUAGGUGGCAAGCGUUGUCCGGAUUUAUUGGGCGUAAAGGGAACGCAGGCGGUCUUUUAAGUCUGAUGUGAAAGCCUUCGGCUUAACCGGAGAAGUGCAUUGGAAACUGGAAGACUUGAGUGCAGAAGAGGAGAGUGGAACUCCAUGUGUAGCGGUGAAAUGCGUAGAUAUAUGGAAGAACACCAGUGGCGAAAGCGGCUCUCUGGUCUGUAACUGACGCUGAGGUUCGAAAGCGUGGGGAGCGAACAGGAUUAGAUACCCUGGUAGUCCACGCUGUAAACGAUGAAUGCUAGGUGUUGGAGGGUUUCCGCCCUUCGGUGCCGCAGCUAACGCACUAAGCAUUCCG